GAUGAACGCUAGCGGGAGGCCUAACACAUGCAAGCCGAGCGGUAGAGAUUCUUCGGAAUCUUGAGAGCGGCGUACGGGUGCGGAACACGUGUGCAACCUACCUUUAUCUGGAGGAUAGCCUUUCGAAAGGAAGAUUAAUACUCCAUAAUAUAUUGAUUGGCAUCAAUUGAUAUUGAAAGCUCCGGCGGAUAGAGAUGGGCACGCGCAAGAUUAGUUAGUUGGUGAGGUAACGGCUCACCAAGACGAUGAUCUUUAGGGGCCUGAGAGGGUGAUCCCCCACACUGGUACUGAGACACGGACCAGACUCCUACGGGAGGCAGCAGUGAGGAAUAUUGGUCAAUGGGUGCAAGCCUGGACCAGCCAUCCCGCGUGAAGGACGACUGCCCUAUGGGUUGUAAACUUCUUUUGUAUAGGGAUAAACCUACCCUCGUGAGGGUAGCUGAAGGUACUAUACGAAUAAGCACCGGCUAACUCAGUGCCAGCAGCCGCGGUAAU
rnacentral:rRNA from 1 species